rnacentral:rRNA from 1 species
CCUACGGGUGGCUGCAGUGAGGAAUAUUGGUCAAUGGUCGGGAGACUGAACCAGCCAAGCCGCGUGAGGGAUGAAGGUACAGAGUAUCGUAAACCUCUUUUGUCAGGGAACAAAGGCGGGGACGUGUCCCCGGAUGAGUGUACCUGAAGAAAAAGCAUCGGCUAACUCCGGGCCAGCAGCCGCGGUAGUACGGAGGAUGCGAGCGGUAUCCGGAUUUAUGGGGUUAAAAGGGUGCGCAGGCGGUUGGUUAAGUCAGCGGUCAAAGCCCGGGGCCAAACCCCGGCCCGCCGUUGAAACUGGCAGUCUCGAGUUGGAGAGAAGUAUGCGGAAUGCGCGGUGUAGCGGUGAAAUGCAUAGAUAUCGGGAAGAACUCCGAGUGCGAAGGCAGCAUGCCGGCUCCACACUGACGCUGAGGCACGAAAGCGUGGGUAUCGAACAGGAUUAGAUACCCUUGUAGUC